UUUAUAUAAACUUCUCACAUAUCUGAUGCAAUUUCUAACUCAGGUUUCAGAAGGAGAAGAAAAGGAGUACAUUCAAGACAGCACCAGAGUUGGCAAAUUUGAGAGAAUAACUCAAAAGACAUAAUAUGUUGGUGUUUCACUCACAGUUGCAACAACAAAAUGAUCCCUUCUUUAACCUCAGCUUUCUCCAGCUUAAAUGUUGGCUUCCCAACAUCAUCAGGAACCAAUGAGAUCAUCAAAGCAGUCUUCUUCAG